rnacentral:lncRNA from 1 species
AAAAGUGGUUUUUGACUUAAUUAUAAGUGACAGCUACAUUAACAUAAAAUCAUGGUUUAUUCAACAGAGCGAGAGUUUGAGAUAAAACCUUUAAUCAAUAAAGUUAACUGAAACGAUUUAUUUUAAAACCAAGAAACCGACAAAGAAUUGAUUCCCUAAUUACGACGAACUACAUACCGAUAUCCGAUUUAUUAAUAUUUAAUCUAGAUCUUAGUUUAGUUUUUAGCUUCGCCCCCAAACAAUCAACCAUUAUUCACCUUAGCUUUACGAAGUAACCUUAGAUAACGGUAUAUCGAUUCAUAAGUCCCUGUGGGAUCGAUAUCUUUUAAAACUACGC